rnacentral:ribozyme from 1 species
AGGGUGUGCGAUGGACUCACCUCCACGUGGUGCACCCUGGGCAACGUAUACUCGUACGGCCAAAAGGUAUAU